CAGUAGCCGCGGUAAUACAGAGGGUGCAAGCGUUAAUCGGAAUUACUGGGCGUAAAGCGCGCGUAGGUGGUUUGUUAAGUUGGAUGUGAAAUCCCCGGGCUCAACCUGGGAACUGCAUCCAAAACUGGCAAGCUAGAGUAUGGUAGAGGGUGGUGGAAUUUCCUGUGUAGCGGUGAAAUGCGUAGAUAUAGGAAGGAACACCAGUGGCGAAGGCGACCACCUGGACUGAUACUGACACUGAGGUGCGAAAGCGUGGGGAGCAAACAGGUUUAGAUACCCCGGUAGUCCCUGUCUCUUAUAA
rnacentral:rRNA from 1 species